AUUAAGCAGCAAUUAUCUCUAACUCAUUGCACCUACUAAUAAUGCUCUGGGAGGAGGCUAUGGGGUAUGAGCUCAACCAGGAGAUCUGCAACAGGCAGGGCUGAGUGCCUGGGACUGCAUCAGCAAUAUGGCAUGGGCAGCAGAGCCUGCGCUCACCAGCGUGCCCUCGUGUCAUUGUCACCUCUUCCAGCAUGAAGAGCCCUGACUGAGUCAUCCCCCAGCUAAACGCAGUGUGUGGGCUUGUGCAGCGUUAGGCUGUUCAUCCUCUACUUGCUGCAGCCUGACACUGGGUAGAACAGCUAUUCAUCAGCUCAGGGAUGAGGCGAGAUGGAUGUCCUGUGCUGCAGCGUGAGCUUCGUUCUCCUCCCACCCACGGGACCGGAGUGGUCCAGCAUGGACGACUGAAGUGCUCGCUGCCUGGAAAGCUCGAGAGAUCUUGAGAGAAAUAUGGACUUGUGCUUUGCACCGACUGAUUUCAUGCUCCUGUUCUACAAGUGCUGGAGCCUCUGUGGAGUGCAGGCUCUUGAAAAUGUUUCCACCACGUGUGUCACAGCAGCUCUAGGGAGAGGGAGGACGCAGUGGUGACGGCAGCAUCUCACAGCUGCUGGUGUUCGGUCUUUCUGGUGGCCUUGGGGCUGUGGUGGCCAUGGUGGCUGUUGAAUGUCUCUUUGGUGCCUAUCCUGCCCUGGCCCUGCUGCCUUUCUCCUGCCUACGGCUUUGCCAUGUGCAGCUCUUGCAGGUGCACGUGCCUGGCUGAUGAAGGGCCAGGAAUUGUUGGGGUGUAUUUUUUUCAGCUCUCAAGUAACUGAAGUGUCUUUGUGGAGUUUAGCAGCUCUCUUUACAUAUGAAAUAGGUCUCCAGAGAGCAAAUCCAGAGUGAAAUGUUUCUCCUUGUGACUGACACCAAGCUCUUUCUGCUAAUGAUGUUUAAAAGCUUUUUGCCUGUCGGCUGCAUGGUCACCUGUUCCUGUACCUUCACUGUGCAGUGUGGUGGCACACGUGCCAGCUGACCUGGCUUCCCCGAGCUCCAUCACCACAUCUGCAGGAACCAAGCUAACAACACUGUGUUGUUGAGGGCAUUGGAGCACAGCUUGCCAUGGGGGCAGCUACCUCUCCAGAAGCAAAGCAUGUUUUGCCACCCCCCCCUAACCAGUGUAGCUUAAAACGGGGAAAUUGCAGCAGCAUUUUCUGCUGCAAACCCUUCUGCUGCUCCAAGGAGGCUGGGGAGCACCAAGGGACCAAUGGUCCAUCCAUGCAUGUGCUCUGCUGGUGGGAAAUGGGCUGACACCUCCCUGUGCGAGGGGGCACUGAUGACUAUCUUGUUACACAGACAGGGGUCUUGUUUUGACAAACUGUUCUAAGAAAUAUAAGAAAGCAGGACUUCUUGAGGGCUGCACUCUGGAAAGCAGCUGCUACAGCUGUGCCCUGGAAGGACUUGUGUUCCUGGUACAGAAGAGCUGGGCUUUGCUGGGUGUGUGCUUUCACAUAAGCUGAUGAUCCACUUGUGCUGUAGGUGUUACCACUGCUUGCAGCCAGCCCAGAGUUCCUGCAGCUCCUCCAGCCUCUUCCCCCCCUGCAGGAAGGUUGCUCCAAGGUGGGACUGGGGCUCCGAACACCAGGGCUGCCCUCACUAUGUGUCACCCACAGAUUAUGCCCUUCAGCUCCAAGGUUCCCCACCUGGUGCCUGGAGCUCCUGGAAGGCAUGCAGCUUGCUCCCAGCACUUGCCUGUUAACACUGUGGCAGCUGGGGCCACCCAGCCCCAUGGGGCUGGAAGCAUCUGCUUUGGGUGUCUGUUGGCAGCAAUUAUGCAGCACAGCAGUGAUGGCGGGGCAAGGGAAGCUGUCACACAAGGGCACAGCUUGGCCUCGUGUCCCUUUGCCUGCUCAGGGGUGGCCUCAUGUCCUUGGCACUCAGGACAUCAUUGGCUGCCUUUCCCUGCACGAAGGAGGGUUUCUUGUUGUCACAGCUCAUCUUCUCUGAGCUCUUCCUAUUGUGGAUGCCAAUGGUGGCACGGGGGCUCCAAGUGCUGUGAAGGGUGAGCUUUGGCUUGUGGAUCUAGAGCAUCUGUGCAAGGACAGGCAGUGUUUGGUAGCUACUGAAGUAUCAGCUCUGUGGGGUAUUUUCCUUGGUGGUGGCAGGAGGAGCUGCUCAUUCUUUUUGGCUCUCCAGGUCCAACCGUGGUGGAUGUAACCCCCUCUAAUUGUGUGGGGAGUCCUGCCCAUAAAACAUGUUGCCAACAGCACAACUGGGAACAAAUGCACGAUGAACUCUAUUUCAAAUGGUGUGGCUUUUCAACCCCAUCAAACAACUUUAUUCACACAAACGUCUCUUAAUUUACAAAGCCUCUGCCACUCAUACACAUCAGGGUAUCCACAGUGUUCAAAACUUAAAUAGAACGUCUCAUACCAACCCGAGUAAACCAAGUACAAAAAAAAUAUUUAUAUAAAGUUGUUCACACAUAGGUCCUAGAUCACCAGCUUCUGUGCAAGGAAAAAAAAAGAAA